UACGUAGGGCGCAAGCGUUGUCCGGAAUUAUUGGGCGUAAAGAGCUCGUAGGCGGUUUGUCGCGUCUGUCGUGAAAGCCCACGGCUUAACUGUGGGUCUGCGGUGGAUACGGGCAGACUAGAGGCAGGUAGGGGAGAAUGGAAUUCCCGGUGUAGCGGUGAAAUGCGCAGAUAUCAGGAGGAACACCGGUGGCGAAGGCGGGUCUCUGGGCCGAUACUGACGCUGAGGAGCGAAAGCGUGGGGAGCGAACAGG
rnacentral:rRNA from 1 species